rnacentral:rRNA from 1 species
UACGUAGGGUGCAAGCGUUAAUCGGAAUUACUGGGCGUAAAGCGUGCGCAGGCGGUUAUGUAAGACAGAUGUGAAAUGCCCGGGCUUAACCUGGGAACUGCAUUUGUGACUGCAUGGCUAGAGUGUGUCAGAGGGGGGUAGAAUUCCACGUGUAGCAGUGAAAUGCGUAGAUAUGUGGAGGAAUACCGAUGGCGAAGGCAGCCCCCUGGGAUAACACUGACGCUCAUGCACCGAAAGCGUGGGGAGCAAACAGG